rnacentral:rRNA from 1 species
UACGAAGGGUGCAAGCGUUAAUCGGAAUUACUGGGCGUAAAGGGUGCGUAGGCGGUUCGUUAAGUCUGUCGUGAAAUCCCCGGGCUCAACCUGGGAAUGGCGAUGGAUACUGGCGAGCUAGAGUGUGUCAGAGGAUGGUGGAAUUCCCGGUGUAGCGGUGAAAUGCGUAGAGAUCGGGAGGAACAUCAGUGGCGAAGGCGGCCAUCUGGGACAACACUGGCGCUGAAGCACGAAAGCGUGGGGAGCAAACAGG